rnacentral:rRNA from 1 species
GAUGAACGCUGGCGGCGUGCCUAAUACAUGCAAGUCGAGCGCGACUGCUUACACCGUUCUUCGGAACACCGUAAUCAUCGAGCGGCGGACGGGUGAGUAACACGUGGGCAACCUACCCUUAAGACUGGGAUAACCGCGGGAAACCGUGGCUAAUACCGGAUAAUACUUUUAUACAACGGUAUAGAAGUUGAAAGGUGGAUUUCUAUCACUUAAGGAUGGGCCUGCGGCGCAUUAGCUGGUUGGUAAGGUAACGGCUUACCAAGGCGACGAUGCGUAGCCGACCUGAGAGGGUGAUCGGCCACACUGGAACUGAGACACGGUCCAGACUCCUACGGGAGGCAGCAGUAGGGAAUCUUCCGCAAUGGGCGAAAGCCUGACGGAGCAACGCCGCGUGUGCGAAGAAGGUCUUCGGAUCGUAAAGCACUGUUGUUAAGGAAGAACGACAGUAAGAGUAACUGUUUACUGUGUGACGGUACUUAACCAGAAAGCCACGGCUAACUACGUG